UACGGAGGGUGCAAGCGUUAUCCGGAUUCACUGGGUUUAAAGGGUGCGUAGGUGGGCAGGUAAGUCAGUGGUGAAAUCUCCGGGCGUAACCCGGAAACUGCCGUUGAUACUAUCUGUCUUGAAUAUAGUGGAGGUGAGCGGAAUAUGUCAUGUAGCGGUGAAAUGCUUAGAUAUGACAUAGAACAUCGAUUGCGAAGGCAGCUCGCUACGCUAUUAUUGACACUGAGGCACGAAAGCGUGGGGAUCAAACAGG
rnacentral:rRNA from 1 species